UACGUAGGGGGCAAGCGUUGUCCGGAAUCAUUGGGCGUAAAGAGCGUGUAGGCGGUCCGGUCAGUCGGUUGUGAAAGUCAAGGGCUCAACCCUUGAAUGCCGGCCGAUACUGCCGGGCUAGAGUCCGGAAGAGGUGAGUGGAAUUCCUGGUGUAGCGGUGAAAUGCGCAGAUAUCAGGAGGAACACCGAUGGCGAAGGCAGCUCACUGGGACGGUACUGACGCUGAGACGCAAAAGCGUGGGGAGCAAACAGG
rnacentral:rRNA from 1 species